UUUGGGAAUGGUUCCCUUUCUUAUAUUAGCAAGUCGAGCGAUGGAUUAAGAGCUUGCUCUUAUGAAGUUAGCGCCGGACGGGUGAGUAACACGUGGGUAACCUGCCCAUAAGACUGGGAUAACUCCGGGAAACCGGGGCUAAUACCGGAUAACAUUUUGAACCGCAUGGUUCGAAAUUGAAAGGCGGCUUCGGCUGUCACUUAUGGAUGGACCCGCGUCGCAUUAACUAGUUGGUGAGGUAACGGCUCACCAAGGCAACGAUGCGUAGCCGACCUGAAAGGGUGAACCGUCGACACUGGGGACUGAGACACGGCCCAAACUCCUACGGGAGGCAGCAGUAGGGAAUCUUCCGCAUUGGACGAAAGUCUGACGGAGCAACGCCGCGUGAGUGAUGAAGGCUUUCGGUUCGUAAAACUCUGUUGUUAGGGAAGAACAAAUGCUAGUUGAGUAAGCUGGCUCCUUGACGGUACCUAACCUGAAAGCCACGGCUAACUAC
rnacentral:rRNA from 1 species